GAGUAACGCGUAGGUAACCUGCCUUGUAGCGGGGGAUAACUAUUGGAAACGAUAGCUAAUACCGCAUAACAAUGGAUGACACAUGUCAUUUAUUUGAAAGGGGCAAUUGCUCCACUACAAGAUGGACCUGCGUUGUAUUAGCUAGUAGGUGAGGUAAUGGCUCACCUAGGCGACGAUACAUAGCCGACCUGAGAGGGUGAUCGGCCACACUGGGACUGAGACACGGCCCAGACUCCUACGGGAGGCAGCAGUAGGGAAUCUUCGGCAAUGGGGGCAACCCUGACCGAGCAACGCCGCGUGAGUGAAGAAGGUUUUCGGAUCGUAAAGCUCUGUUGUAAGUCAAGAACGGGUGUGAGAGUGGAAAGUUCACACUGUGACGGUAGCUUACCAGAAAGGGACGGCUAACUACGUGCCAGCAGCCGCGGUAAUACGUAGGUCCCGAGCGUUGUCCGGAUUUAUUGGGCGUAAAGCGAGCGCAGGCGGUUUGAUAAGUCUGAAGUUAAAGGCUGUGGCUCAACCAUAGUUCGCUUUGGAAACUGUCAAACUUGAGUGCAGAAGGGGAGAGUGGAAUUCCAUGUGUAGCGGUGAAAUGCGUAGAUAUAUGGAGGAACACCGGUGGCGAAAGCGGCUCUCUGGUCUGUAACUGACGCUGAGGCUCGAAAGCGUGGGGAGCGAACAGGAUUAGAUACCCUGGUAGUCCACGCCGUAAACGAUGAGUGCUAGGUGUUGGAUCCUUUCCGGGAUUCAGUGCCGCAGCUAACGCAUUAAGCACUCCGCCUGGGGAGUACGACCGCAAGGUUGAAACUCAAAGGAAUUGACGGGGGCCCGCACAAGCGGUGGAGCAUGUGGUUUAAUUCGAAGCAACGCGAAGAACCUUACCAGGUCUUGACAUCCCGAUGCUAUUUCUAGAGAUAGAAAGUUACUUCGGUACAUCGGUGACAGGUGGUGCAUGGUUGUCGUCAGCUCGUGUCGUGAGAUGUUGGGUUAAGUCCCGCAACGAGCGCAACCCCUAUUGUUAGUUGCCAUCAUUCAGUUGGGCACUCUAGCGAGACUGCCGGUAAUAAACCGGAGGAAGGUGGGGAUGACGUCAAAUCAUCAUGCCCCUUAUGACCUGGGCUACACACGUGCUACAAUGGUUGGUACAACGAGUUGCGAGUCGGUGACGGCGAGCUAAUCUCUUAAAGCCAAUCUCAGUUCGGAUUGUAGGCUGCAACUCGCCUACAUGAAGUCGGAAUCGCUAGUAAUCGCGGAUCAGCACGCCGCGGUGAAUACGUUCCCGGGCCUUGUACACACCGCCCGUCACACCAC
rnacentral:rRNA from 1 species